UACGUAGGGUGCGAGCGUUAAUCGGAAUUACUGGGCGUAAAGCGUGCGCAGGCGGUUUUGUAAGCCAGAUGUGAAAUCCCCGGGCUUAACCUGGGAAUGGCAUUUGGGACUGCAAGGCUGGAGUUUGGCAGAGGAGACUGGAAUUCCUUGUGUAGCAGUGAAAUGCGUAGAUAUCUGGAGGAACACCGGUGGCGAAGGCGGCAUCCUGGACCAACACUGACGCUGAGGAGCGAAAGCCAGGGGAGCAAACGGG
rnacentral:rRNA from 1 species